rnacentral:rRNA from 1 species
ACGAACGCUGGCGGCGUGCCUAAUACAUGCAAGUCGAGCGAACUAAUUAAGAGCUUGCUCUUAUGAGGUUAGCGGCGGACGGGUGAGUAACACGUGGGCAACCUGCCCUGUAGACUGGGAUAACAUCGAGAAAUCGGUGCUAAUACCGGAUAAUUGUUGGAACUGCAUAGUUCUAACUUAAAAGAUGGCUCCGGCUAUCACUAUAGGAUGGGCCCGCGGCGCGUUAGCUAGUUGGUAAGGUAAUGGCUUACCAAGGCGACGAUGCGUAGCCGACCUGAGAGGGUGAUCGGCCACACUGGGACUGAGACACGGCCCAGACUCCUACGGGAGGCAGCAGUAGGGAAUCUUCCGCAAUGGACGAAAGUCUGACGGAGCAACGCCGCGUGAGUGAUGAAGGUUUUCGGAUCGUAAAGCUCUGUUGUUAGGGAAGAACAAGUGCCGUUCGAAUAGGGCGGCACCUUGACGGUACCUAACCAGAAAGCCACGGCUAACUACGUG